UUUUUAAAAUUAUAGCGUUUCUAACUUUUUAUCAGAUUUUUUAUGCUAAACAAAACAAUUUCAUUUCUUAAAUUCAUUUUAGAGAAUACAACCACCUUUAAACAUUAGUUAUGCACUGCUACCAUGGACAGAAGGUGCGUUAUUCUGGCUAUUUAUUGUCUAAGCAAAUACUCACAUGGUUUCGGGAGCUCCUCUACUUUCCUGUUAUUUAUAACUGCUUUUAACUUCCUGUCUUUCACUCUUUGUAGAUUUUCUGCCACCAGUAAUUCUACUCUGCCUGUUGUUUGGUUAACUAUUUUGGCUUCUUGCCAGUUUAUGUGGACAUUGCUCUGGUAGGCUUUGGUCGCCAGUGCUGUAGUCAAGCUUGCCGU
rnacentral:lncRNA from 1 species